AGGUGCUGCAUGGCUGUCGUCAGCUCGUGUUGUGAAAUGUUGGGUUAAGUCCCGCAACGAGCGCAACCCUUAUCCUUUGUUGCCAGCGAUUAGGUCGGGAACUCAAAGGAGACUGCCAGUGAUAAACUGGAGGAAGGUGGGGAUGACGUCAAGUCAUCAUGGCCCUUACGACCAGGGCUACACACGUGCUACAAUGGCGCAUACAAAGAGAAGCGACCUCGCGAGAGCAAGCGGACCUCAUAAAGUGCGUCGUAGUCCGGAUUGGAGUCUGCAACUCGACUCCAUGAAGUCGGAAUCGCUAGUAAUCGUGGAUCAGAAUGCCACGGUGAAUACGUUCCCGGGCCUUGUACACACCGCCCGUCACACCAUGGGAGUGGGUUGCAAAAGAAGUAGGUAGCUUAACCUUCGGGAGGGCGCUUACCACUUUGUGAUUCAUGACUGGGGUGAAGUCGUAACAAGGUAACCGUAGGGGAACCUGCGGUUGGAUCACCUCCUUACCUUAAAGAAGC
rnacentral:rRNA from 1 species